UCCUGGUUAACCCAGGCAGUCUCAUUAGAGUCCCCAGCAUUACCUGUUGGCAACUAAUGAUAAGGGUUGCGCUCGUUGCGGGACUUAACCCAACACCUCACGGCACGAGCUGACGACAGCCAUGCAGCACCUGUGCAGCAGCCCCGAAGGGAAGUACCAUCUCUGGUACGGUCUACUGCAUGUCAAGCCUAGGUAAGGUUCUUCGCGUUGCAUCGAAUUAAACCACAUGCUCCACUGCUUGUGCGGGUCCCCGUCAAUUCUUUUGAGUUUCACCCUUGCGAGCGUACUCCCCAGGCGGCAUACUUAUCGCGUUAGCUUCGACACGACCAGGGUUGAGUCCGGUCACAUCAAGUAUGCAUCGUUUACGGCGAGGACUAC
rnacentral:misc_RNA from 1 species